rnacentral:rRNA from 1 species
GGGAUCGAAAGACCUCGUGCUUUAAGGGUGGCCGAUGUCUGAUUAGCUAGUUGGUGGGGUAAAGGCUUACCAAGGCGACGAUCAGUAGCUGGUCUGAGAGGACGAUCAGCCACACUGGGACUGAGACACGGCCCAGACUCCUACGGGAGGCAGCAGUGGGGAAUUUUGGACAAUGGGCGAAAGCCUGAUCCAGCCAUGCCGCGUGAGUGAAGAAGGCCUUCGGGUUGUAAAGCUCUUUCGGUCGGAAAGAAAUAUCUAUAGAAAAUAUCUAUAGAGGAUGACGGUACCGACAUAAGAAGCACCGGCUAACUACGUGCCAGCAGCCGCGGUAAUACGUAGGGUGCAAGCGUUAAUCGGAAUUAUUGGGCGUAAAGGGUGCGCAGGCGGUAUUGUAAGUCAGAUGUGAAAGCCCCGGGCUUAACCUGGGAAUUGCGUUUGAA